UUGCCGCAUGUAAGUGCAGAUUGGGCGUUUUUUUAAGCCUCUGAUCUGGGAAGUUGGUGCGCCCUAAGCCAUGGUUGGCUAGUGGCAAUCCCAACACUGCCCCCGCAACGGUAAAUUGGUUAGGUUAUUUCGUUAUACCACUGCAUUCGCUGUUUCGCUUUGUUAAGUGCAAAGUUGGCUAGGUUAAUGUGGGAAGGUGAAAUAAUUGAGAUUAAGUAUUUCAGGUGAAU
rnacentral:ncRNA from 2 species